CGUCUAUAUACGUAUAGCAUAUCAAUAAGCGGAGGAAAAGAAACUAACAAGGAUUCCCCUAGUAACGGCGAGUGAAGCGGGAAGAGCUCAAAUUUGAAAUCUUCAAGGGUUUCCCUUGACGAAUUGUAGUUUAAAGAAGUGUUUUCUGUUAGAGAGGUGGUAAAAGUUCUUUGGAAUAGGACAUCAUAGAGGGUGAGAAUCCCGUAUUUGAUCACUUUCUACUAACGUUGUGAUACACUUUCAAAGAGUCGGAUUGUUUGGGAAUGCAGUCCAAAAUGGGUGGUAAAUUUCAUCUAAAGCUAAAUAUUGGCGAGAGACCGAUAGCGAACAAGUACCGUGAGGGAAAGAUGAAAAGAACUUUGAAAAGAGAGUUAAACAGUACGUGAAAUUGCCAAAAGGGAAGCGUUUGACACCAGUGUUGUUUUUCCGAAAAUCAAUUAAGAAUGGCUGGAUUUUAAGUUUCAUGACCUUAAAAGCUUGUUUCUUAUUUUUCUUGUCUUUCUUAAUGCACUUUUCGGUUAACAAGUCAACAUCAAUUUCUUUUGUUGUAAAAGGUUAAGAGGAAGGUGGCUUUACUUUCGGGUAAAGUGUUUAUAGCCUUUUAACUCUGCAAUCGGAGAGAUUGAGGUCUGCAGCGUAGAUCCUUCGGGGCUAGAUACGUUUGUGCUAAGUUAUAGCCUUUCAUAGACAACUUGUUGACUAUGUUUAGUCUUGUAGCUUACUCGCUUAUGCUAUUUUACCUACGCUUAGGAUGUUGACACACGCGCGUGCUCG
rnacentral:rRNA from 1 species